rnacentral:misc_RNA from 1 species
GGCGUAUCUUCAAACAACGGUGGCAGGCUAGAAAAUCCUGUCAAUAAGACCUUGAGCUUAGAAGGCACAUUGCAGCAAGUGUCGACAUCCUCUCGGGCACACGCCGCUUUGAAUCGCUCGAAUAGCUGCGAGACCUCCGCUAACUUUGGAUCCAUCUCUCUCUCUAUCUCUCUCUCUCUCUCUCUCUAUCUCCCUCCCCCUGCGUCUGUUCAAUGUUCCCAGGUGACUGGUGUCUCUACCUCUCCGAGUUUGAGCUCGAUGUG